rnacentral:rRNA from 1 species
UACGAAGGGGGGCUAGCGUUGCUCGGAAUCACUGGGCGUAAAGGGCGCGUAGGCGGCCUGAUAAGUCGGGGGGUGAAAUUCUGCGGCUUAACCGCAGGACGGCCUUCGAGACUGUCGGGCUUUGAGCACGGUAGAGGCUGGUGGAAUUCCCGGUGUAGCGGUGGAAUGCGUAGAGAUCGGGGAAGAACAUCGGUGGCGAAGGCGGCCAGCUGGGCCUUGCUGACGCUGAGGCGGCGACAGCGUGGGGGAGCAAACAGG